GAAAUAAACUAAAUGAACUUCUAAUUCAUAAUUUAUGAUAUUAUCAUAUUAUUUCU
rnacentral:tRNA from 1 species